rnacentral:rRNA from 1 species
AGUGAACGCUGGCGGUAGGCCUAACACAUGCAAGUCGAACGGCAGCACAGUAAGAGCUUGCUCUUACGGGUGGCGAGUGGCGGACGGGUGAGGAAUACAUCGGAAUCUACUUUUUCGUGGGGGAUAACGUAGGGAAACUUACGCUAAUACCGCAUACGACCUACGGGUGAAAGCAGGGGAUCUUCGGACCUUGCGCGAUUGAAUGAGCCGAUGUCGGAUUAGCUAGUUGGCGGGGUAAAGGCCCACCAAGGCGACGAUCCGUAGCUGGUCUGAGAGGAUGAUCAGCCACACUGGAACUGAGACACGGUCCAGACUCCUACGGGAGGCAGCAGUGGGGAAUAUUGGACAAAGGGCGCAAGCCUGAUCCAGCCAUACCGCGUGAGUGAAGAAGGCCUUCGGGUUGUAAAGCCCUUUUGUUAGGAAAGAAAAGCAGCAGGUUAAUACCCCGCUGUUCUGACGGUACCCAAAGAAUAAGCACCGGCUAACUUCGUG